GUGCCAGCCGCCGCGGUAAUACCGGCAGCACGAGUGAUGGCCGAUUUUAUUGGGCCUAAAGCGUCCGUAGCUUGCUGUGUAAGUCCAUUGGGAAAUCCACUCGCCCAACGAGUGGGCGUCCGACGGAAACUGCACAGCUUGGGACCGGAAGGCUCGAAGGGUACGUUCGGGGUAGGAGUGAAAUCCCAUAAUCCCGCACGGACCACCGAUGGCGAAAGCACUUCGAGAAAACGGAUCCGACAGUGAGGGACGAAAGCCAGGGUCUCCAACCGGAUUAGAAACCCCAGUAGUCC
rnacentral:rRNA from 1 species